rnacentral:rRNA from 1 species
GAUGAACGCUGGCGGCGUGCCUAACACAUGCAAGUCGAGCGAUCUUCUUCGGAAGAGAGCGGCGGACGGGUGAGUAACGCGUGGGCAACCUGCCCUGUACACACGGAUAACAUACCGAAAGGUAUGCUAAUACGAGAUAAUAUGCUUUUAUCGCAUGGUAGAAGUAUCAAAGCUCUGGCGGUACAGGAUGGACCCGCGUCUGAUUAGCUAGUUGGUAAGGUAACGGCUUACCAAGGCGACGAUCAGUAGCCGACCUGAGAGGGUGAUCGGCCACAUUGGAACUGAGACACGGUCCAAACUCCUACGGGAGGCAGCAGUGGGGAAUAUUGCACAAUGGGCGAAAGCCUGAUGCAGCAACGCCGCGUGAGCGAUGAAGGCCUUCGGGUCGUAAAGCUCUGUCCUCAAGGAAGAUAAUGACGGUACUUGAGGAGGAAGCCCCGGCUAACUACGUGCCAGCAGCCGCCGUAAUAC